rnacentral:tRNA from 1 species
UGGCUCAGUGGGUAGAGCGUCAGCCUGUGGACUGAAGGGUCCCAGGUUUGAUUCCUGG